GGAGAAGCAAAGUGAUGUACAUUACUACCUGGAGCCCCAAAGAGGCACAUGUGUGUGUGUGUAUGCGUGUGUGUAUCCUUGUCUGUGCAUGCACACGUACGUCUGAGAGUGUGAAUGUGUGUGACUGGUUGUAGGGAAACUAGUUAUGUGCCUUCUGUUGGACUGUGACAGUGAAACUGAUAAGAUCUGAUUGCUUC